rnacentral:rRNA from 1 species
GGGAGGGAGUGACAAUAAAUAACAAUACGGGGUUCUUUCGGAUCUCGUAAUUGGAAUGAGUACAAUUUAAAUCUCUUAACGAGGAACAAUUGGAGGGCAAGUCUGGUGCCAGCAGCCGCGGUAACUCCAGCUCCAAUAGCGUAUAUUAAAGUUGUUGCAGUUAAAAAGCUCGUAGUUGAAUUUCGGGGUUGGUAGGCUGGUCAUGCCACCGGUAUGUACUGGUCUUUCUGAUUCCUCCUUCCUGAUGAACUGUAAUGCCAUUAAUUUGGUGUUGCAGGGAAUCUGGACUGUUACUUUGAAAAAAUUAGAGUGUUUAAAGCAGGCAAGCGCUUGAAUACAUUAGCAUGGAAUAAUGAAAUAGGACGUUUGAUCUUAUUUUGUUGGUUUCUAAGAUUGACGUAAUGAUUAAUAGGGAUAGUUGGG